rnacentral:rRNA from 1 species
CUACGGGAUGCUCCAGUGAGGAAUUUUGCGCAAUGGGGGGAACCCUGAUGCAGCAACGCCGCGUGGAGGAUGACGCAUUUCGGUGUGUAAACUCCUUUUAUAUGUCAAGAAAAUGACGGUAGCAUAUGAAUAAGCACCGGCUAACUCCGUGCCAGCAGCCGCGGUAAUACGGAGGGUGCAAGCGUUACUCGGAAUCACUGGGCGUAAAGGACGCGUAGGCGGGUUGGAAAGUCAGGUGUGAAAUCCUACAGCUUAACUGUAGAACUGCACUUGAAACUUCUAAUCUAGAGUAUGGGAGGGGGAGAUGGAAUUAGUGGUGUAGGGGUAAAAUCCGUAGAUAUCACUAGGAAUACCUAAAGCGAAGGCGAUCUCCUGGAACAUUACUGACGCUAAGGCGUGAAAGCGUGGGGAGCAAACAGGAUUAGAUACCCCAGUAGUC